rnacentral:lncRNA from 1 species
GGACAUACUGCAGACAGACAUGGACCAUGAAGAUGCUGCAGGGCCUGGGAGUCCCUUUCCUGUGAGGAGAGGUGGAAAGAGCUGGGCCUGCUCAGACUGAAAAAGAGGGGGCUCUGGGGGACCCCAUCAAUGUCCAUAAAUACCUGAAGGGACAGGAGAAAGAGGACAGAGCAAGGCUUUGUUCAGAGGUGCUCAGUGCCAGGACAAGAGGCCAUGGGCACAAACUGGAGCACAGGGGUUCCCUCUGAGCACCAGGCAGCACUGCUGUGCUGUGCCAUGCCCGAGCACCAGGCCAAAGCACCACAGGCCCUGAGGUCUCCUCCUUAGGGCCUGGGCCCCGCUCUGGGUGUCCCUGCUGGAGUAGAGGAGUGGUGUUGAAUAUUUGUGUUGCUGGAAGUAUAUGUGAGAGGAGAUGUAGAAAAUGUGGCAUCGUGGUUACUGGCAAGAUGUGCAGUGCCGAGGAGGAAAAUCUGAUGAGGAAUCCCCAGCAUCGUAAAUGGAUAAUGUGGUGUUGACUGGAGUGAGAAGCAGCAGCAUUUCCCAGCAAAGAGCACGCAUGCUGAGCUUCUGUGGCUGGUAAAACACAGCAGAUGACUUCUGAUACGUGCCAGUGUGUGAGGAGAAGGAAGCAUUUCCUGAGAGCAGAUAUGUGAAGAUAUUC